CAAGUUUCGUGUGCCUAUUCAAAUCGUGUUGCUCUGCUAUGCUCUUGAUUAACUUAUAGAGUGUUUGACCGUAUUCUGCGGUGAUAAUGCAGGAGGAUUUGGAAGGAGAGAUGGAUCCAAGCACUCUACGCAAUGAUGGGAUGAUUGCUCUUUCAACAUAUUCUAUUAGCGAAGAUGGCAAGUGAAAGUGGGAGCGACUGGAUCACUAUUCCUAUCAUGCAUUGUAGACAUGAUGCAUUGGAUAUAUGUCAACAAAUUGUCCUUGGAUGAGGAAAUACCAAUUAUCUUGCUGUGGUGUGCUACUCUCUUUUGGCACUCGUUUUAUAUCACUACAACUGUUCAAAUAAUAUGGACGGUCGGUAAGGACGCCGUGGAUGCUAACAUUAAGAAACAGACUGGAGUGAGGGACAAGGAACAGACACUUGAUGUGCCUGCUGGGAAGGCAAUUACAAAGGAAUUAGUGGUCUGCUGUCCUCCUUAGUCCUUUGAAUGAUUCAUUUUCUUUUGGCAUGCAAUAACAUGACUAAUGCUGACACAUCUCCAUUGUGGGUUUUAUAUUUUCACUAACCAUGUCAAGUUUCCCCCUCAUUGGAGUAACUACUUAAGGAAUCUGUUAACCGGUUCAUGGCCUCUGUAGCAAGAAAGAAGAUAAAUCUUGAUUUCUUUAUGAAGGGGUGGAAGGUAUAUUUCUGUAUUUAAGAGUUUUUACUUAUUGAUACAGUUUAUCAAUAGGAUCUAUUGACAGUCUCUUAUGAACGCCUUUGGUGGUAACUAUUUAUGGGUAAUGAACUAUUGCUUGUGAUGCAAGUACCAUAACAUAUUCCCAUCGUAAGAUAUGUUUAAACAUCUUGAGCGAAUACUCCAUACAUGUUGAAGCUUUAAGCCUCUUGUUUGCCACGUUGUUUAGGUAUCAAGAGCCUUUUCUUUUGAAGGCAUUGACUUUUAUGGAUUUUAUGUAUGCCUUCAAAAGAGGCUUUUAUGUAUUUUCUUUAUUCUGGAUUUUAUGUAUGUCUGUUGUGAUGUUAGAUACAGAUUGAUUCAAAAGGCUUCAGCUGCGGAUUUGUUGGUGUAGUUUAUUUUAGCUGGGGUGACCAGUUGGUUUGCAGACAACGAUGGAUUCCGCUGAUGGUUGAGCAAGUAGGUGGGACAAGACAUCGAGGCCCAAAGCUGCUGCCGCCGUUGUUGCCCUGGUGGCGACAUUCAUCCAGCGCCGAUGCGUGAUAAACUGGCCAGAACCUCACUAGACGCUGAAAUGGAUUAGAUAAAUCUGUUGCUUCCAUCCAGAAUAGUUACUUUGUGUGGACUGCGUCUGGGCCUUUUGGUCAAAUGCCGGCAGUAUAGUUAUCCUGUCACAAUGUAUGGAAGAGCGCAGCUGGCAAAGGGAGAAGACCCAAGACAAUACAGUAAGAUUUACAGUAAGUAUGUUAUUAUGGAGUGUUCAGUUGACACCGUGGAGUAACACGACACAACUGUAUCGUUUUCUAUUUCUAUUUUUUUGCAAGUAUCACAUUUGUCUGUAAGAAUAAUAGCAUGAGUUAGUACUCCCUCUGUAAACUAA